rnacentral:rRNA from 1 species
CCUACGGGUGGCAGCAGUAGGGAAUCUUCCGCAAUGGACGAAAGUCUGACGGAGCAACGCCGCGUGAGCGAAGAAGGUCUUCGGAUCGUAAAGCUCUGUUGUUAGGGAAGAACAAGUACGGGAGGAAAUGACCGUACCUUGACGGUACCUAACGAGGAAGCCACGGCUAACUACGUGCCAGCAGCCGCGGUAAUACGUAGGUGGCAAGCGUUGUCCGGAAUUAUUGGGCGUAACGCGCGCGCAGGCGGUCUUUUAAGUCUGAUGUGGAAUCUUGCGGCUCAACCGCAAGCGGUCAGUGGAAACUGGGAGCUUGAAGGGCAGAAGAGUAGGGCGGAUAUGAAGGUGUAGCGGGACAGGGCGUAGGGAUGAGGCGGAACCGCAGUGAUGAUGGUGGCGUAGUGUCGUGUAACAGUGGUGGAGGCGGGAAAGCGUGUGGGGAAGCGAUGAUGCAAUAUCCGGUUAGUC